AGUCGAGGGGUAUAGGUUUUCGGACCUAGAGACCGGCGCACGGGUGCGUAACGCGUAUGCAAUCUACCUUUUACAGAGGGAUAGCCCAGAGAAAUUUGGAUUAAUACCUCAUAGUAUUAUUGAAUGGCAUCAUUUAAUAAUUAAAGUCACAACGGUAAAAGAUGAGCAUGCGUCCCAUUAGCUUGUUGGUAAGGUAACGGCUUACCAAGGCAACGAUGGGUAGGGGUCCUGAGAGGGAGAUCCCCCACACUGGUACUGAGACACGGACCAGACUCCUACGGGAGGCAGCAGUGAGGAAUAUUGGUCAAUGGGCGCAAGCCUGAACCAGCCAUGCCGCGUGCAGGAUGAAGCAUCUAUGGUGUGUAAACUGCUUUUGUACGAGAAGAAACACUCCUACGUGUAGGAGCUUGACGGUAUCGUAAGAAUAAGGACCGGCUAACUCCGUGCCAGCAGCCGCGGUAAUACGGAGGGUCCAAGCGUUAUCCGGAAUCAUUGGGUUUAAAGGGUCCGUAGGCGGUUUAGUAAGUCAGUGGUGAAAGCCCAUCGCUCAACGGUGGAACGGCCAUUGAUACUGCUAAACUUGAAUUAUUGUGAAGUAACUAGAAUAUGUAGUGUAGCGGUGAAAUGCUUAGAGAUUACAUGGAAUACCAAUUGCGAAGGCAGGUUACUAACAAUAUAUUGA
rnacentral:rRNA from 1 species